rnacentral:rRNA from 1 species
ACGAACGCUGGCGGCGUGCUUAACACAUGCAAGUCGAACGGAAAGGCCCUGCUUUUGUGGGGUGCUCGAGUGGCGAACGGGUGAGUAACACGUGAGCAACCUGCCCUUGACUUUGGGAUAACUUCAGGAAACUGGGGCUAAUACCGGAUAGGAGCUCCUGCUGCAUGGUGGGGGUUGGAAAGUUUCGGCGGUUGGGGAUGGACUCGCGGCUUAUCAGCUUGUUGGUGGGGUAGUGGCUUACCAAGGCUUUGACGGGUAGCCGGCCUGAGAGGGUGACCGGCCACAUUGGGACUGAGAUACGGCCCAGACUCCUACGGGAGGCAGCAGUGGGGAAUAUUGCACAAUGGGCGGAAGCCUGAUGCAGCAACGCCGCGUGCGGGAUGACGGCCUUCGGGUUGUAAACCGCUUUCGCCUGUGACGAAGCGUGAGUGACGGUAAUGGGUAAAGAAGCACCGGCUAACUACGUG